rnacentral:misc_RNA from 1 species
AUAAACCAUCAACCAUCAUUUGAGGGUGUGCAUGCAUGAUGAAAGAAAUGGCAGCAUGCAUAAGAUGCAAAACUGUAGCAUAUCUGAAACGGCAUGAACUUGCAGCUUGUGUGUAUCAUUAUUCAAAAACUUUCAGCAGUAGAUUGCAAUGAGUUCAUUGAUUUUUACUUUUGUCAACUCUCUUCAUCCACAAGAAUGGUCGACUCAUUGCCGAUGCCAAUGUCUGUCAAAGUUGCCAUUUCANNNNNNNNCAGCAAUGAUGGUAGAGGUGAACCCUCUUCCUGGAGAAAUAAUUUUGGCUUGAUGGACUUGAG